rnacentral:rRNA from 1 species
CCCCUCUUCUUCUGAAAUUUUGACCUCGGAUCAGGUAGGAAUACCCGCUGAACUUAAGCAUAU